ensembl:lncRNA
GUGCGCGUGUGUGCGCGCCGCCCAGCCAGCCGCUGGGCAGGGCUCAGGCGCGUCAGGGCCCGGAGGUCACUGGCUGUUGGAUGGAGAUGUUUUGGAGCAAGACAGGAGCAGAGGCGGGGCAUCCCAUUAUUGGACCAGGUCAGAGAGAACUGCUGGUUGGCCUAAGGUGACGCAGCAGAAAUGAAGAGAAGUAAAGGGGUUCAUCUAUGUUUGGAGGUAAAGUCAACAGCUCCUGCUGCAGGAUGGACUGUGGACAGUGGAUGGUCCAGGAAUGCGCUGAGAUUUGAGGUGGGUCUGCUUGUUCCACACUCCAUGCAGCCCACCUCCCCACACAUUUCUCCAAGGGCGCUGAUGCUUGAGAGGACUGGAGGCCCCCUUCCUUCCUCUUUUAGUUUAUUUGUAAUAUAUCUUCUGCUUGAAAACCAGAGUGAGUUUUCUAAAGGGUAGAUAGAUUCGGUAACUGAGGUGGUCAUCUCCAGGUAUGUCCCAACUUGGGCCAGUCACAUCCCUGAAAUUUAUUACUCACAAUAAUUUUUUUUUUAUCAAGGAGAGAGGGAGGGAGAGAUGGAAGGAGGGAGAGAAGGGAAGGGAUGAGAAGAGAGAAAAGAACUAUUCUUGGUUUAUAGAUGAGAAAACAAAUGCUCUGGGAGGAAAAGCGUCUAAGCCAAGGACAUAACAAAUAAAAUAGCUGCAGCUCACACCUAAAACCUCUGCUUAGCUGGUCAGGUAGCUGAAGGUCAGACUGAAUAAAGUGUGAGUGGGUCGGUGGGUGGAUGAGUUUUCAGCUCCCUCCUCAACAAAGGAUGUGAGGCUGACUGGUACACACCUUUGAGGUCUUAAAGGUGGAUAAACUUUUCACCUAAUGAGCUUCCCUACCUCUGCCCCGAGCAGAAAUCUGCAUCUCAUCUUUGACACCUCUAUUUCCCCC